CCUACGGGAGGCAGCAGUGAGGAAUAUUGGUCAAUGGGCGAGAGUCUGACCCAGCCAAGUAGCGUGAAGGAUGACUGCCCUAUGGGUUGUAAAUUUCUUUUAUAAGGGAAUAAAAUGAUCCACGUGUGUGUUUUUGUAUGUACUAUAUGAAUAAGGAUCGGCUAACUCCGUGCCAGCAGCCGCGGUAAUACGGAGGAUCCGAGCGUUAUCCGGAUUUAUUGGGUUUAAAGGGAGCGUAGAUGGGUUGUUAAGUCAGUUGUGAAAGUUUGCGGCUCAACCGUAAAAUUGCAAUUGAUACUGGCAGUCUUGAGUACAGUUGAGGUAGGCGGAAUUCGUGGUGUAGCGGUGAAAUGCUUAGAUAUCACGAAGAACUCCGAUUGCGAAGGCAGCUUACUAAACUGCCACUGACAUUGAUGCUCGAAAGUGUGGGUAUCAAACAGGAUUAGAUACCCGUGUAGUC
rnacentral:rRNA from 1 species